CGAACAAUUUGGUGAAGACAGUUUGCUAAAAUCUUUUGCGGCUUAAGAGAUAUAGCGAUAACAAGAAAAAGGGGACGCGGGGAGAUAACUCCUAUAAGAAUAAGUGUUCGGUCACACAGGGUGAGUUUUGAAACCCCCAUUACUGUACAACAUCAUUGGCCAAACAUCCAUUCGAUAUGUUGUAAGACAAAAAAGCAUCUCAGACGGCAGAAAAAAAAAA
rnacentral:lncRNA from 1 species